rnacentral:rRNA from 1 species
AUUGAACGCUGGCGGCAGGCCUAACACAUGCAAGUCGAGCGGUAGAGAGAAGCUUGCUUCUCUUGAGAGCGGCGGACGGGUGAGUAAUGCCUAGGAAUCUGCCUGGUAGUGGGGGAUAACGUUCGGAAACGGACGCUAAUACCGCAUACGUCCUACGGGAGAAAGCAGGGGACCUUCGGGCCUUGCGCUAUCAGAUGAGCCUAGGUCGGAUUAGCUAGUUGGUGAGGUAAUGGCUCACCAAGGCGACGAUCCGUAACUGGUCUGAGAGGAUGAUCAGUCACACUGGAACUGAGACACGGUCCAGACUCCUACGGGAGGCAGCAGUGGGGAAUAUUGGACAAUGGGCGAAAGCCUGAUCCAGCCAUGCCGCGUGUGUGAAGAAGGUCUUCGGAUUGUAAAGCACUUUAAGUUGGGAGGAAGGGUUGUAGAUUAAUACUCUGCAAUUUUGACGUUACCGACAUAAUUUCUCCGGCUAACUCUGUGUCAGCCCCCGCGGUAAUAAAGUGGGUGCAAACGGUAAUCUUAAUUUCUGGUCGUUAAACACCUCGUC